rnacentral:rRNA from 1 species
GAUGAACGCUGGCGGCGUGCCUAAUACAUGCAAGUCGAGCGAACGGACGAGAAGCUUGCUUCUCUGAUGUUAGCGGCGGACGGGUGAGUAACACGUGGAUAACCUACCUAUAAGACUGGGAUAACUUCGGGAAACCGGAGCUAAUACCGGAUGAUAUUUUGAACCGCAUGGUUCAAAAGUGAAAGACGGUCUUGCUGUCACUUAUAGAUGGAUCCGCGCUGCAUUAGCUAGUUGGUAAGGUAACGGCUUACCAAGGCAACGAUGCAUAGCCGACCUGAGAGGGUGAUCGGCUACACUGGAACUGAGACACAGUCCAGACUCCUACGGGAGGCAGCAGUAGGGAAUCUUCCGCAAUGGGCGAAAGCCUGACGGAGCAACGCCGCGUGAGUGAUGAAGGUCUUCGGAUCGUAAAACUCUGUUAUUAGGGAAGAACAUAUGUGUAAGUAACUGUGCACAUCUUGACGGUACCUAAUCAGAAAGCCACGGCUAACUACGUG